CAGUAGCCACGGUAAUACGGAGGGUGCAAGCGUUAAUCGGAAUUACUGGGCGUAAAGCGCACGCAGGCGGUUUGUUAAGUCAGAUGUGAAAUCCCCGAGCUUAACUUGGGAACUGCAUUUGAAACUGGCAAGCUAGAGUCUUGUAGAGGGGGGUAGAAUUCCAGGUGUAGCGGUGAAAUGCGUAGAGAUCUGGAGGAAUACCGGUGGCUAAGGCGGCCCCCUGGACAAAGACUGACGCUCAGGUGCGAAAGCGUGGGGAGCAAACAGGAUUAGAGACCCCAGUAGUCCCUGUCUCUUAUAC
rnacentral:rRNA from 1 species